CGCAAGAACCUCAUGCUCCUGGAGCGGCCGAUAUCUGAUUAGCUAGUUGGUGAGGUAAAAGCUCACCAAGGCGUCGAUCAGUAGCUGGUCUGAGAGGACGACCAGCCACACUGGAACUGAGACACGGUCCAGACUCCUACGGGAGGCAGCAGUGGGGAAUUUUGGACAAUGGGGGCAACCCUGAUCCAGCAAUGCCGCGUGAGUGAAGAAGGCCUUCGGGUUGUAAAGCUCUUUUGUCAGGGAAGAAACGGUCGUCUCUAAUAUAGACGGCUAAUGACGGUACCUGAAGAAUAAGCACCGGCUAACUACGUGCCAGCAGCCCGCGGUAAUACGUAGGGUGCAAGCGUUAAUCGGAAUUACUGGGCGUAAAAGCGUGCCCAAGCCGGUUUCGUAAGUCAGAUGUGAAAUCCCCCGGGCUCAACCUGGGGAGUGGGCAUUUUUGAAGACUUGU
rnacentral:rRNA from 1 species